UUCUCCAAAGUUCUCAGAAACAUUGAUCUUGUAAAUCAAAAGAAUAAAGAGAAA
rnacentral:tRNA from 1 species